rnacentral:rRNA from 1 species
GACGGAGGGUGCUAGCGUUGUUCGGAAUGACUGGGCGUAAAGGGCGCGUAGGCGGCUUUCAAGUCGGGUGUGAAAGCCCGGGGCUCAACCCCGGAACGGCAUCCGAUACUGGGAGGCUUGAGACCGGGAGAGGAGGGUGGAAUAUCCAGUGUAGAGGUGAAAUUCGUAGAUAUUGGAUGGAACACCAGUGGCGAAAGCGGCUCUCUGGCCCGGAUCUGACGCUGAGGCGCGAAAGCGUGGGGAGCAAACAGG